rnacentral:lncRNA from 1 species
AGCUGGGCGGUCACAUCUGGAAAUGGAAAGCCGACCUCCCCCUCCUCCUCCACCUCCUCCUCCUCCUCCUCCUUCUCCUCCUCUCACCCAGGAUCACUUCCGAAACCAGUUGGCCUUCAGCCCCUGCCUCGGCCAGAGGUUUCAUUUUUAACUGAAUAUUUACGAAAGCUGAAAGCGUGCGAGGGGGGUGGGGUGGAAAUAGCGGCUGCUUCUUUUCCAAGGAUUUAUUUAAUGGGGAUGUGUUCAAGGCAAGACCGAAUUCAGAAGGAUAUCGACGUCGUGAUCCAGAAGUCCAGAGCUGAGGACUGCCUGUUUGCAGUUACUGUACAGGACAACCUGCUUUUCAUAUUCUCUGUGAAUUUCAAAGACGACUGGGAUUUUCUUCCUCCUCUACCACCCUGAACAGCAAGACCAAUACAUCCUGUAUUUCCUCCUCUUCAGCCUACUUGUGAAGACAAGGAUGAAGACCUCCAUGAUGAGCCAUCUCCACUUAAUGACUGUCUCACAUUGGCCGGCAACUUGUUCCAGAUGAAAUCUUGCUCUGUCACCCAGGCUGGAGUGCAAUGGCUCGAUCUCGGCUCACUGCAACCUCCACCUUCUGGGUUCAAGCAAUUCUCCUGCCUCAGCCUCCUGAGUAGCUGGGAUUACAGAUGGAGUCUCACUGUGUCCCCAGGCUGGAGUGCAGUGGCGCGAUCUCAACUCACUGCAAGCUCUGCCUCCCGGGUUCACGCCAUUCUCCUGCCUCAGGCUCCCGAGUAGCUGGGACUACAGGCGCCCGCCACCACUCCCGGCUAAUUUUUUUUGUAUUUUCAGUAGAGACGGGAUAUCACCAUGUUAGCCAGGAUGGUCUCGAUCUCCUGACCUCGUGAUCCGCCCUCCUCAGUCUCCCAAAGUAUUAGGAUUACAGGCGUGAGCCACCGCCCCCGGCCCUCAAAGAUUGUUAUGAGUCCUCACAGAUGUCAGAGGACGAUGCUGUGACCUAUAUUUGCAAACGCCCGGAAGACUUAAAGCUAUUGUUUUGCAAAUGCACAGAUAACAAUAAUAACAUGAUGCUGUGGAUGAGCAUGAAAGUUUUUCUCUUACUCCUAAUUAUAAUGUUUUCCCUCUUACUGCUUUGCCCUGCUGAUGGAAUUCAGUAAAGGAAUCUCUACCAGCAGACACUUGGUUUUUACCCUUCCUAGGACCUUUAAUAGAUAUCUUUUUAUUACUAAUCUUUGCUCUUUGCUUGUUUAACCUCCUUGUAAAGUUUGUGUCUUCCAGAUUACAAUAAUUCCAUGUAAAGAUGAUGCUGGCACAAGGCUUUCAACCCAUCCCCUCUUCUGACCCAGAAGAUAAAGACAUCCUACCUUUGAGCCUUUUAGAACAGGUAUCCAGGGAUUUUACCUCUCCAGUGCUAGGCAGGGUCUAUGCCCAUAACAUCAGCAGGAAGCAGUUACAGAAGAUGAACCUCCGCCCUUCUGCAAGCCCCUUAAGAUUAAGGAGGAGUAUAUAAUCUCUGAUGGGGAAAUGAGGUAGGAGACCAGAAGGACUUAUUUUCCAUUCCCAACCCCAUUGAACAGAGCAGGAUCUGGUCAAAACAGGGUGCAGUGGAGAAGCCUGCUGAAACCAGCAGAUGAUGAUGAAAGUGACCUCUAGUUGCCCUCACUGCUUAUGAGCAUAAAGACACUACCACUGGGACCAUGGCCAGUUUACAAAUGUCAUGGCAACACACCUUGGCAAUGGCCUGGAAGUUACUUUAUAUGGUUCUGGAAACUCCCUGCCCCUUUCCCAGAAAGUUCUGAAUAACCUACCUCUUAAUUGGCAUGCAAUUAAAAGUGGCUCUAAAUACAACUAGCUAGUAGCCCACAGGCACAAACUCUGGGCACACUGCCUAUAGGUUAGCCCUGCUCUGCAAGAAGUAGCACCAGUUCAAUAAAAGUUGCUUUCUCUC